UGCUGGCAGUGUCAGCUUCCCGUACGUGUCCUCUCUUGUCUCGCGUGCCCCCUGCGUGUGUCUCCUGCUUUCUACGUGCUGCCCGGGUCUCUGUUAGACUGAUCGGUAACAUGGCAAUGCACAAGGGACAUAGAUAUGUCUUUGAGAUACUGAUUCCAUUUCCCUCAGAUAUACACCCAGAAGUGGGAUUGCUGGGUCAUAUGGUUCUGAAGCACACUCUCUUGCUCAAGCUGCUGUGUCAGAGUUUGAGGCAUCACCAGGAGACUUCUGAACCAGGCGCUGACGUGACUUCAUCAAAAUGGCCCAGGUGGAACACAGUACCACUGCAGGUCCCGCCCAUGUCCCCACUGGGGAUGAAUCCAUCAGGGCACUUGGGUUCACAGACUUCGCGGAAAACCUGUCUUCAGGACUGGUCUCCUUUCUUCCAACCAGCUGUUGGUCAGAGGCCCAGGCACCUCCAUCCAGGCUCCACUCCCCAGGGCCUGGAUUCUGGGACACCUUAGGGGUAAUUCAAGGCUGUCAUGCUCCUUUAUUUGGGGACAAGAAGGUCCUAAAAGCUGCCUUUGUUUGAUUUUGGAGGUCUGAUUGUUUUUUGUCCAGAUAGGUGGAAACAUGGGGUGUGAUGUUCCUACACCUGCAGGGCCUUCCCAGGGUAAAGAUCUGUGUGUUUUCCCAGCCAGUCCGUCCCCUACACCACCCUCCCAGGAAACACAGAUCCAGGAUUACGAGAGUAGAAGCUCUCCUAUUGUUUAUUGUAACUUGGACUCCCACACUGAGGAGCCUGGCUCCCACCAUCUGCCCUUUAUCUGUGUAUUGCUCCUUUCCAGAUUACACGUGCAGAAGUUUCAGCAUUGUUAGCUACUAUACCCUGGAAA
ensembl:lncRNA